UAGGGAAAAUUGCCCAAUGGACGAAAGUCUGAGGCAGCAACGCCGCGUGUGCGAUGAAGGCCUUCGGGUUGUAAAACUCUGUUCUUGGGGAAGAAUAAAUGACGGUACCCAAGGAGAAAGUCCCGGCUAACUACGUGCCAGCAGCCGCGGUAAUAA
rnacentral:rRNA from 1 species